GAUGAACGCUGGCGGCGUGCUUAACACAUGCAAGUCGAACGGAAAGGCUCCUGCUUGCAGGGGUACUCGAGUGGCGAACGGGUGAGUAACACGUGGGUGAUCUGCCCUGCACUUCGGGAUAAGCCUGGGAAACUGGGUCUAAUACCGGAUAGGACGAUGGUUUGGAUGCCAUUGUGGAAAGUUUUUCGGUGUGGGAUGAGCUCGCGGCCUAUCAGCUUGUUGGUGGGGUAAUGGCCUACCAAGGCGUCGACGGGUAGCCGGCCUGAGAGGGGGUACGGCCACAUUGGGACUGCGAUACGGCCCAGACUCCUACGGGAGGCAGCAGUGGGGAAUAUUGCACAAUGGGCGCAAGCCUGAUGCAGCGACGCCGCGUGGGGGAUGACGGCCUUCGGGUUGUAAACUCCUUUCGCUAGGGACGAAGCGCAAGUGACGGUACCUGGAGAAGAAGCACCGGCUAACUACGUG
rnacentral:rRNA from 1 species